CCUACGGGAGGCAGCAGUGAGGAAUAUUGGUCAAUGGACGAGAGUCUGAACCAGCCAAGUAGCGUGAAGGAUGACUGCCCUAUGGGUUGUAAACUUCUUUUAUAUGGGAAUAAAAUGUUCCACGUGUGGGAUUUUGUAUGUACCAUAUGAAUAAGGAUCGGCUAACUCCGUGCCAGCCGCCGAGGUAAGACGGAGGAUCCGAGCGUUAUCCGGAUUUAUUGGGUUUAAAGGGAGCGUAGGUGGAUUGUUAAGUCAGUUGUGAAAGUUUGCGGCUCAACCGUAAAAUUGCAGUUGAAACUGGCAGUCUUGAGUACAGUAGAGGUGGGCGGAAUUCGUGGUGUAGCGGUGAAAUGCUUAGAUAUCACGAAGAACUCCGAUUGCGAAGGCAGCUCACUGGACUGCAACUGACACUGAGGCUCGAAAGUGUGGGUAUCAAACAGGAUUAGAUACCCGUGUAGUC
rnacentral:rRNA from 1 species